rnacentral:rRNA from 1 species
UACGUAGGUGGCAAGCGUUGUCCGGAUUUACUGGGCGUAAAGAGCGCGCAGGCGGUCGUUCAAGUCGAGUGUGAAAGCCCCCGGCUCAACUGGGGAGGGUCACUCGAUACUGAUCGACUCGAAGGCAGAAGAGGGAAGCGGAAUUCCGCGUGUAGCAGUGAAAUGCGUAGAUAUGCGGAGGAACACCGAUGGCGAAGGCAAUCCCCUGGGCCUGUGCUGACGCUCAUGCACGAAAGCGUGGGGAGCAAACAGG